rnacentral:rRNA from 1 species
UACGUAGGGUGCAAGCGUUGUCCGGAAUUAUUGGGCGUAAAGAGCUCGUAGGCGGUUUGUCGCGUCUGCUGUGAAAACUGGGAGGCUCAACCUCCAGCCUGCAGUGGGUACGGGCAGACUAGAGUGCGGUAGGGGAGAUUGGAAUUCCUGGUGUAGCGGUGGAAUGCGCAGAUAUCGAGGAGGAACACCAAGUGGCGAAGGCAGAUCUCUGGGCCGUAACUGACGCUGAGGAGCGAAAAGCAUGGGGGAGCGAACAGG